UACGUAGGGUGCAAGCGUUGUCCGGAUUCACUGGGUGUAAAGGGUGCGCAGGCGGAAUGGUCAGUCAGGGGUGAAAUCUCACAGCUUAACUGUGAAACUGCCUUUGAUACUGUCAUUCUUGAGUUCGGGAGAGGCUGAUGGAAUUCCAGGUGUAGCGGUGAAAUGCGUAGAUAUCUGGAAGAACACCAGUGGCGAAGGCGGUCAGCUGGCCCGUAACUGACGCUCAGGCACGAAAGCGUGGGGAGCAAACAGG
rnacentral:rRNA from 1 species